UACAGAGGGGGCCAGCGUUAUUCGGAAUUAUUGGGCGUAAAGGGCGCGUAGGCGGCCAUGCGUGUCUUCCGUGAAAUCCCUCGGCUUAACCGAGGACGUGCGGAAGAAACUGCAAGGCUCGAGUCCGGAAGAGGGGGGCGGAAUUCCCAGUGUAGCGGUGAAAUGCGUAGAUAUUGGGAGGAACACCAGUGGCGAAGGCGGUCCCCUGGGCCGGAACUGACGCUGAGGCGCGAAAGCGUGGGUAGCAAACGGG
rnacentral:rRNA from 1 species